rnacentral:rRNA from 1 species
GAUGAACGCUGGCGGCGUGCCUAAUACAUGCAAGUCGAGCGAACAGACGAGGAGCUUGCUCCUCUGACGUUAGCGGCGGACGGGUGAGUAACACGUGGAUAACCUACCUAUAAGACUGGGAUAACUUCGGGAAACCGGAGCUAAUACCGGAUAAUAUAUUGAACCGCAUGGUUCAAUAGUGAAAGACAGUUUUGCUGUCACUUAUAGAUGGAUCCGCGCCGCAUUAGCUAGUUGGUAAGGUAACGGCUUACCAAGGCGACGAUGCGUAGCCGACCUGAGAGGGUGAUCGGCCACACUGGAACUGAGACACGGUCCAGACUCCUACGGGAGGCAGCAGUAGGGAAUCUUCCGCAAAGGGCGAAAGCCUGACGGAGCAACGCCGCGUGAGUGAUGAAGGUCUUCGGAUCGUAAAACUCUGUUAUUAGGGAAGAACAAAUGUGUAAGUAACUAUGCACGUCUUGACGGUACCUAAUCAGAAAGCCACGGCUAACUACGUG